GCUACUUAAAGUUGUGGUCUUUGGACCAUGGGCAUCAGCAUCACCUGGAGUUUGUUAGACACACGACAUCGCAGGCCCCACUCCAGAUCUGCUGCCUCAGGAUCUGCAUUGGAACAGGAUUGGCAUCCCCAGAAUGCUGGUUCCUGAAAAUAUCUCCAAAACAAUCUGUUGAAAAGAUAAACCUCAGUUUACCCUUCUGCAAGUAAGUGUGGCCCUUGCUACGGAGAAAUGACAAUGAAUGAACUACAAUGACACACAACAACAACACGGUUGGAUCUUCCACAUAUAUCACUAAGCCAAAAAGAGCAAAACCAAAAGAAAAAUCUCCAAUAUGAUUCCACUGGCAUAAGUUUUGAAAGCAGACAAAGUUAUAGUUUGAGGAUCCACUCUUUGGUGGUGAAACUAUUAAAGAAAACAAGGAAAUGGUUACCAUAAAUAUCAGGAG